GACGGAGGAUGCAAGCGUUAUCCGGAAUUAUUGGGCGUAAAGCGUCCGCAGGUGGCAGUUCAAGUCUGCUGUCAAAGACCGGGGCUUAACUUCGGAAAGGCAGUGGAAACUGAACAGCUAGAGUAUGGUAGGGGCAGAGGGAAUUCCUGGUGUAGCGGUGAAAUGCGUAGAGAUCAGGAAGAACACCGGUGGCGAAGGCGGCCUGCUGGGGUGGAGCUGACGCUGAGGCGCGACAGCGUGGGGAGCAAACAGG
rnacentral:rRNA from 1 species